GACAGAGGGUGCUAGCGUUGUUCGGAAUUACUGGGCGUAAAGGGCGCGUAGGCGGUCCGCUAAGUUCGGCGUGAAAUCCCCUGGCUCAACUGGGGAACUGCGCUGGAUACUGGUGGACUUGAGUACCGGAGAGGAGAGUGGAAUUCCUGGUGUAGCGGUGAAAUGCGUAGAUAUCAGGAGGAACACCGGUGGCGAAGGCGGCUCUCUGGACGGAUACUGACGCUGAGGCGCGAAAGCGUGGGGAUCAAACAGG
rnacentral:rRNA from 1 species